GGGGGAACCUGGAGGAGAAGCCGCCGAAGCACCGAAGGAGCUCAGCUAGAGGUUCCUGUAAGGAUCCAGGCAGCUCAGACACUGGUGGGCACACCCACAGGAAGGGGCGGGAGCACCAGCCCCCUAGGAAAAGAAGAGCACAAGGGGCCUCUGGGGAACCGGGGAGCUGGGGAGCCUGAGGCGGAGGACUCUUCACAACCACCUAGACCAGGAAUGUCCACUAGAGGGCAGUGUGUCCCAGGGUCGAGCGUGAACUCUGGAGCCACAGGGUCUGGAUUCAACUGUGCCUCCUUCAGACUUGCUGAGACCUGCACAAAUGACUCAACCCCUCUGUGAGUAAAAUUGCAUUAUUUCCAGAAUCUCUCGCCUGGUCUUAGUGCAUCUCCACAUCAAUAGGUGUUUCC